GAUUGAACGCUGGCGGCAGGCCUAACCCAUGCAAGUCGAACGGUAACAGGAAACAGCUUGCUGUUUCGCUGACGAGUGGCGGACGGGUGAGUAAUGUCUGGGAAACUGCCUGAUGGAGGGGGAUAACUACUGGAAACGGUAGCUAAUACCGCAUAACGUCGCAAGACCAAAGAGGGGGACCCUCGGGCCUCUUGCCAUCGGAUGUGCCCAGAUGGGAUUAGCUUGUUGGUGGGGUAACGGCUCACCAAGGCGACGAUCCCUAGCUGGUCUGAGAGGGUGACCAGCCACACUGGAACUGAGAAACGGUCCAGACUCCUACGGGAGGCAGCAGUGGGGAAUAUUGCACAAUGGGCGCGAGCCUGAUGCAGCCAUGCCGCGUGUAUGAAGAAGGCCUUCGGGUUGUAGAGUACUUUCAGCGGGGAGGAAGGGAGUAAAGUUAAUACCUUUGCUCAUUGACGUUACCCGCAGAAGAAGCCCCGGCUAACUCCGUG
rnacentral:rRNA from 1 species